rnacentral:rRNA from 1 species
CGCACGGGUGAGUAACACGUAUCCAACCUGCCGUCUACUCUUGGCCAGCCUUCUGAAAGGGAGAUUAAUCCAGGAUGGCAUCAUGAGUUCACAUGUCCGCAUGAUUAAAGGUAUUUUCCGGUAGACGAUGGGGAUGCGUUCCAUUAGAUAGUAGGCGGGGUAACGGCCCACCUAGUCAACGAUGGAUAGGGGUUCUGAGAGGAAGGUCCCCCACAUUGGAACUGAGACACGGUCCAA